GUCUGACUCUAAAUUGCCCGAUUUUCAGGGAGGUGCAGAACAUGCAUCGAAUGUUGCCGUAUCUGCACUGGCUGGUGCGAAUAUAAUUUAUGAAUCU
rnacentral:ncRNA from 1 species